UACGUAGGGGGCUAGCGUUGUCCGGAAUCAUUGGGCGUAAAGCGCGUGUAGGCGGUCCGGUAAGUCCGCUGUGAAAGUCGGGGGCUCAACCCUCGAAUGCCGGUGGAUACUGUCGGGCUAGAGUGCGGAAGAGGCGAGUGGAAUUCCUGGUGUAGCGGUGAAAUGCGCAGAUAUCAGGAGGAACACCAAUUGCGAAGGCAGCUCGCUGGGACGUAACUGACGCUGAGGAGCGAAAGCCAGGGGAGCAAACGGG
rnacentral:rRNA from 1 species